rnacentral:rRNA from 1 species
UACGUAGGGUGCAAGCGUUAAUCGGAAUUACUGGGCGUAAAGCGUGCGCAGGCGGUGAUGUAAGACAGAUGUGAAAUCCCCGGGCUCAACUUGGGAACUGCAUUUGUGACUGCAUCGCUGGAGUGCGGCAGAGGGGGAUGGAAUUCCGCGUGUAGCAGUGAAAUGCGUAGAUAUGCGGAAGGAACACCAGUGGCGAAAGCGGCUUCCUGGUCCAGCACCGACGUCAGGCACGAAAGCGUGGGGAGCAAACAGG